UGCGAAUGCUGACAUAAGUAACGAUAAAGCGGGUGAAAAGCCCGCUCGCCGGAAGACCAAGGGUUCCUGUCCAACGUUAAUCGGGGCAGGGUGAGUCGACCCCUAAGGCGAGGCCGAAAGGCGUAGUCGAUGGGAAACAGGUUAAUAUUCCUGUACUUGGUGUUACUGCGAAGGGGGGACGGAGAAGGCUAUGUUGGCCGGGCGACGGUUGUCCCGGUUUAAGCGUGUAGGCUGGUUUUCCAGGCAAAUCCGGAAAAUCAAGGCUGAGGCGUGAUGACGAGGCACUACGGUGCUGAAGCAACAAAUGCCCUGCUUCCAGGAAAAGCCUCUAAGCAUCAGGUAACAUCAAAUCGUACCCCAAACCGACACAGGUGGUCAGGUAGAGAAUACCAAGGCGCUUGAGAGAACUCGGGUGAAGGAACUAGGCAAAAUGGUGCCGUAACUUCGGGAGAAGGCACGCUGAUAUGUAGGUGAAGUCCCUUGCGGAUGGAGCUGAAAUCAGUCGAAGAUACCAGCUGGCUGCAACUGUUUAUUAAAAACACAGCACUGUGCAAACACGAAAGUGGACGUAUACGGUGUGACGCCUGCCCGGUGCCGGAAGGUUAAUUGAUGGGGUCAGCGCAAGCGAAGCUCUUGAUCGAAGCCCCGGUAAACGGCGGCCGUAACUAUAACGGUCCUAAGGUAGCGAAAUUCCUUGUCGGGUAAGUUCCGACCUGCACGAAUGGCGUAAUGAUGGCCAGGCUGUCUCCACCCGAGACUCAGUGAAAUUGAACUCGCUGUGAAGAUGCAGUGUACCCGCGGCAAGACGGAAAGACCCCGUGAACCUUUACUAUAGCUUGACACUGAACAUUGAGCCUUGAUGUGUAGGAUAGGUGGGAGGCUUUGAAGUGUGGACGCCAGUCUGCAUGGAGCCGACCUUGAAAUACCACCCUUUAAUGUUUGAUGUUCUAACGUGGACCCGUGAUCCGGGUUGCGGACAGUGUCUGGUGGGUAGUUUGACUGGGGCGGUCUCCUCCUAAAGAGUAACGGAGGAGCACGAAGGUUGGCUAAUCCUGGUCGGACAUCAGGAGGUUAGUGCAAUGGCAUAAGCCAGCUUGACUGCGAGCGUGACGGCGCGAGCAGGUGCGAAAGCAGGUCAUAGUGAUCCGGUGGUUCUGAAUGGAAGGGCCAUCGCUCAACGGAUAAAAGGUACUCCGGGGAUAACAGGCUGAUACCGCCCAAGAGUUCAUAUCGACGGCGGUGUUUGGCACCUCGAUGUCGGCUCAUCACAUCCUGGGGCUGAAGUAGGUCCCAAGGGUAUGGCUGUUCGCCAUUUAAAGUGGUACGCGAGCUGGGUUUAGAACGUCGUGAGACAGUUCGGUCCCUAUCUGCCGUGGGCGCUGGAGAACUGAGGGGGGCUGCUCCUAGUACGAGAGGACCGGAGUGGACGCAUCACUGGUGUUCGGGUUGUCAUGCCAAUGGCACUGCCCGGUAGCUAAAUGCGGAAGAGAUAAGUGCUGAAAGCAUCUAAGCACGAAACUUGCCCCGAGAUGAGUUCUCCCUGACUCCUUGAGAGUCCUGAAGGAACGUUGAAGACGACGACGUUGAUAGGCCGGGUGUGUAAGCGCAGCGAUGCGUUGAGCUAACCG
rnacentral:rRNA from 1 species